AACGCGAAGAACCUUACCUACUCUUGACAUCCUCGGAACCAGGUAGAGAUACUUGGGUGCCUUCGGGAACCGAGAGACAGGUGCUGCAUGGCUGUCGUCAGCUCGUGUCGUGAGAUGUUGGGUUAAGUCCCGUAACGAGCGCAACCCUUAUUCUUAGUUGCUAACGGGUAAAGCCGAGAACUCUAAGGAGACUGCCGGUGACAAGCCGGAGGAAGGCGGGGAUGACGUCAAGUCAUCAUGGCCCUUACGAGUAGGGCUACACACGUGCUACAAUGGGCGGUACAGAGGGAAGCAAAGCCGCGAGGUGGAGCGAAUCUCAGAAAGCCGCUCGUAGUCCGGAUUGGAGUCUGCAACUCGACUCCAUGAAGUUGGAAUCGCUAGUAAUCGCGGAUCAGAACGCCGCGGUGAAUACGUUCCCGGGCCUUGUACACACCGGAGUGC
rnacentral:rRNA from 1 species